rnacentral:rRNA from 3 species
AACUUUCAACAACGGAUCUCUUGGUUCCAGCAUCGAUGAAGAACGCAGCGAAAUGCGAUAAGUAAUGUGAAUUGCAGAAUUCCGUGAAUCAUCGAAUCUUUGAACGCACAUUGCGCCCUCCGGUAUUCCGGGGGGCAUGCCUGUCCGAGCGUCAUUUACACAAAUCAAGCGCG